GACGAACGCUGGCGGCGUGCCUUACACAUGCAAGUCGAACGGCAGCACGGGAGCAAUCCUGGUGGCGAGUGGCGAACGGGUGAGUAAUAUAUCGGAACGUGCCCAGUCGUGGGGGAUAACGUAGCGAAAGCUACGCUAAUACCGCAUACGAUCCAUGGAUGAAAGCGGGGGAUCGCAAGACCUCGCGCGAUUGGAGCGGCCGAUAUCAGAUUAGCUAGUUGGUGGGGUAAAAGCCCACCAAGGCGACGAUCUGUAGCUGGUCUGAGAGGACGACAAGCCACACUGGAACUGAGAAACGGUCCAGACUCCUACGGGAGGCAGCAGUGGGGAAUUUUGGACAAUGGGCGAAAGCCCGAUCCAGCAAUGCCGCGUGCAGGACGAAGGCCUUCGGGUUGUAAACCGCUUUUGUACGGAGCGAAACGGUCCUCUCUAAUACAGGGGGCUAAUGACGGUACCGUAAGAAUAAGCACCGGCUAACUACGUGCCAGCCGCCGCCGUAA
rnacentral:rRNA from 1 species